AUAGACAGGAGUGAAACUGUUUUGAACUGAAACAGGACUUCUGGGGCACUUGAAAUUGGGUCUGAGUUACCAAAGAGAAGAAUGGGUGAGAGCAUUUACUAUCUCCAGCAUGAAGCAGUGGAGUGCGAGUACAGUCUUGAUGUUGUAUCGUGUUACAAGCGUAUAAUGACAUCCUGGAAAAAGCAGGGCUGAUCAAGAUCUUCUAGACAGUGCAAUAGGAACAAAAACGCCUGAUGUAUUUGCCAGGAUGGAGUAUGUGGAUGGAUUUCUACUGGGGUUAGGAAGACUAUACACACAGUUAAGACCAUAGGGCAUAACAAGGUCUAAGAAUACCUUUGUAUACAAAAGAAAUUCUGAGUGACUCUAUUUUUUUAGGAGUUACUUCAUGCCCCAAAUCAUGCUCUGUGUAGGCUCAUCUAGUUUUAAUACUCACUUCUGCUUUGGAUAACAGCAGUCAUUUGGUAUCAAAUCCUACGAAAAAGGACACAAGAUGAAAACUAACUUUGGGACCUGCAGAUCUGUAAGCAUCCCACAUCCCUCAUCGGCCAUGGAGAAACUGUGUUCUUGAUUCCUUGAGGAAGACAAGACUUCUUUGGUGUUUCUUCUAUAACCACCACCAAAAAAAUAAAUCAAACUGCAAAUAUUUUCUAUUUCACUGUUAUUAAUUCCUUCCAAGCAGGUCAAUCCAUUUCUCUCUUUCAAGAGUGAGAUAGCGGGGCUUGCUGACACAUACCAGAGAGCCCUUUGAGCUUGCCUUCCUCCCAUUUCAAGAAAAGGCUUCAUCUUGAAUUCGCAUUCACAAACGCAGCAACCCGGGGGCUUUUCACAGCACCUUAAGCAGACUGAAGUGGAGCUGGCGCAUAAUCAGCGACGGAACAGCUGUUAUCCAGAGAUAACAGAGGCUGCAGAUGUGCAUGGGGUCAAGGGAGACAAUGCCAUCCCAGGACUGCUGAUUAUUCCUUCUCCUUGGUAGACCAAGCUCACCCACAAAAAACGUGAGAGGCUUCUAAACUUCAGCCAAAUAGACAUCCCAGGCUCUUUGCUUCCAGGAACGGAAAACUGAAGAUAACACAAGAUGGCCAUCUCACCUGCUCCAGUGCUCCGACCAGAUAGCAACGGCACACAGCAGCGAGGGAACGUGCAACCCCGGUGCCUGCUACUGUACCUCCUCCAUGACUGCAAACAACCUGAACACUCAAAUCACUUUGUGUUUCUCCUACUCAUUUGGCAUCCAUCAAAAGCAUUAAAUUCAUUCAAGUGUAAGUUACAUAGCUCCUCUUGUUUGUUGCCCUUUCUUGAUAACUGCUUAAAUCUUGUAUGUUGGGAUGGAGCUGUCCAGAAGGCAGGCAGGCCGGCCAACCUGUUACCAUCCGCUGCUUCUCACUGCAACUUAAGUACUACUCAUUUUCACUAGAGCUCAGUAACUCUGUACAGAACUACUGUGAGAUACUUGUGCAAUCCAGCACAAAACUGGGACCAAGGGUAGCUGAGCUUGAUGCGCUUUGAUUGAAUUUUAUAGGGUGUAAUUAAUCUGGCACUGCUGAUUUGCAUUUUUAAGUAUAUAUAUUCUUUCCUUUCUUGGAACUACUGCACUGCGUCGUGUGCUCAGUAAGAAACA
rnacentral:lncRNA from 1 species